CUCCAUUUCCAUCCUCGCAAUUCUUUCAGACAGGAACAAUUAUGGGUCAGCAUUUUGACUGUGGGAUGACAACCCCGUCUCUAACUUGAUGUCCAAACUUUCUGCUGGAGCUCAAGCUUGGGGUCACCUCUGAACCUGAUACACAAAGAAGGGCUGAAAGGUGAAGCCCUGAGCCCAGUUUCAAGCAAGCAUUUACAGAGACUACAUAGAGGGAGAAUAUCCAAGACUGUAUUUGAAUGGCCAGAAAAACUCCAAAGAGAAUCCAAUAAAAACAAAAGUAAAACAGAACAAAUUAAAUAGCAAUUUUGUAUGUUGAAAGAAUAAGUGAGUGGAAUCAAAUGCUAACUUCCAGCUUAUUCACAAGACCAUCUGAAAGACCCAGCCUCAUAGAAUGAAAGCUGAUACUGGUGAGCAGCCCAAGCUUCUGCCUAGGAUUCCUGAAGAUGAUGUAGCAAGAUGUGCCCUCCUAGAGUGACUAAAGAAAAGACAAACUAUUGGACUGAAGUCAGGGACCCUUAUGGCUGAAUUAGGGGAAGGAUUGAAAAAGCUGAAG